UCUAAAGGUUGUGCUUUAGUUAUAUUUAGGCUUGGAUGGAGUCGAUUUCUAACUGGUAAAUGUCAAUUUCACCAUGCACACACAAAUGGAUGGAAAAAAUAUUUCCACUGAUAAUAAUCAGCCCAUGCUGAGAGGCAAGUUCUUUAUUGGAUUCCUGAAUUUGGUCUCUCGGAAGAAUGGAGACGUCUCAUGAUUUCUAAAGCUGAAUACCACAUUUUUAAAAUCCACCAGGGAAUGAAGGCAGGUUUGUCCCCUUUGAGGAAAUAUCCAGGAAGGUUCGUGUUCUGUUCCAGGGGAUUUGCUGGGAGAGGUUUCACUAUGACAAGAUCCAGAUGGAGUCACCUCAGUGGAAAAAAACAACCGGGUCCCCUUUAAAAGGCGACUCUUCAGUGUGUUAUAAAAGCCGGUGUGCUGGUUAGCGAUCUGAUUGAAGACAGCCAUGAGUCACUUACACAAGCAUGAUUCACCUGAAAGUCUAAAGUACAGGAAGAGGAACAUGCAAAUAAAACGGGCAAAAAAGCAAAGUCACAAAGGAAAAGGAACCAGAUCCCAGGGCUGCAGAAGCGGCGAUGUGUUGCUAAGGCACAUCCGGGCUUCCAAAGCCUGAGGACUCUGCACUGGCCGCCUCCAACAUUCCUAGCCACACACUAUGCAGCAUUGAGCACUUGCUCACUGGUGCUGAUCCUGCCAGGAUGAGGGGAGCAGAGCUGGACCAUCCAUAGGCCUCCCUGAUCCUGCUGGGUUGUGCUGCUGUGGCACAGUGACCUGCUCCGAAUGAUCUCUUAGCUAAACGCAUCCUCCAAAUAUUGUAGGAGCUCAACAUUUGGGGUGCUGGAGAGCCCCUCUCACCCCCUGCCUGCCAGAGUCCCAUGUGGAGAUGGCAGCUCUGGGCUAGGCCUACUGACUAUGUAUCGAGCCAAACCUGCCCAGAAACACAGCGAAGUGAUGGCAAAACACCCACUCAGCCCAUCUCUGUGCAGACAGGAAAAUGCAACUGAGAUUCAUGGGCCAGAGCCUCAGCUGCUGACUUCAGUGGAGCUCCAGUGAUUUAUAUCAGGCUCCGUUAGUGCAGCUGGAACAGGAGCUGAGGAAUUGUCUCCGGUAAAUGUGUACGUACAGCCCCUGGCACCGUGGGCCCCGAUCACAGCUAGGCCCUCUCGACACUAUGAUAUAAACCAUGAGGAUUAUGGAAUGACGAAUGAACUGGGCUUCACUGUGUGAAGGGGAAACGCCAAUGACAUACACAAGAUGCUCUAAUCCAGGGGUUCUCACUACAAAUUUUUUGGUGGCCUCAGAAUGCAGCCAUCAACUCUUGCUGGUGGCUGCUCUGGCAAUUUUUCCUAAAAUACUUCAUUAACUUUAGGAAAAACAAAUCA